UGAAGGCAACUCGAACUCAAUGCAGCAACAAUUAACAUGCUGACUUCACUGGAACUCAACAGGAGAGAAGAGAGGAGUACUGAGAGCAGGCUGUCAUGAAGAUUGUGCAAACUUUGUAAAGCUGAGAUAAAAUAUGUCCGAGGAGGAGGACUCUUUUUCAUAAGCCAAUUUGGGAGCUUGGGGACGUCGCAGAUAAUAACAGCUUAAUCAUUAAAAGCAUGCUUCAGGGAACACCAAUCAGCUGUUCUGAACCAGUGAAGCUCCAGCUUCUC